UGGAUGGUUGUGGAAUUCUUAUGAUCUGGGCCAGCUGUCCACAAAAAGGCAACAAAAACACCCAAGAUUUCUCUAUGCCACCUGUCUCCAUAAGAGAGCUGAAGAACUGAACUGUUAACCCAGUGUAAUCAGAAGACUAAAACUUCUUUGGAUUCUGGAGACAAAAAGCAACUUCGCUAUGAGGUCAAAUGACGUGAAAAGACUGAAUGUAUCUAGAAAGAGUGAUUGAUCAAUAGUUUCAUGAAUGGUUAUGCCAAACUAUAUCUGCACUUUUGCUGAAAAGGGAAAUCCCGACAUCUUUUUGUCUCU